UACGUAGGGUGCAAGCGUUGUCCGGAUUUAUUGGGCGUAAAGAGCGUGUAGGCGGCCAGACAAGUCUGCUGUGAAAACUCGAGGCUCAACCUCGAGCUGUCGGUGGAAACUGUCUGGCUAGAGUCCGGAAGAGGAGAGUGGAAUUCCUGGUGUAGCGGUGAAAUGCGCAGAUAUCAGGAAGAACACCUAUGGCGAAGGCAGCUCUCUGGGACGGUACUGACGCUGAGACGCGAAAGCGUGGGGAGCGAACAGG
rnacentral:rRNA from 1 species